rnacentral:rRNA from 1 species
CCUACGGGAGACAGCAGUGGGGAAUAUUGCACAAUGGGGGAAACCCUGAUGCAGCGACGCCGCGUGAGUGAAGAAGUAUUUCGGUAUGUAAAGCUCUAUCAGCAGGGAAGAAAAUGACGGUACCUGCUUAAGAAGCCCCGGCUAACUACGUGCCAGCAGCCGCGGUAAUACGUAGGGGGCAAGCGUUAUCCGGAUUUACUGGGGGGAAAGGGAGCGUAGACGGCAGCAGAAGUCUGGAGUGAAAUGCCGGGGCUGAACCCCGGAACUGCUUUGGAAACUGUGCAGCUAUAGUGCAGGAGAGGUAAGUGGAAUUCCUAGUGUAGCGGUGAAAUGCGUAGAUAUUAGGAGGAACACCAGGGGCGAAGGCGGCUUACUGGACUGUAACUGACGUUGAGGCUCGAAAGCGUGGGUAUCGAACAGGAUUAGAUACCCGUGUAGUC